rnacentral:rRNA from 1 species
AGCAGUAGCCGCGGUAAUACGUAGGUCCCGAGCGUUGUCCGGAUUUAUUGGGCGUAAAGGGAGCGCAGGCGGUUUAGUAAGUCUGAAGUUAAAGGCAUUGGCUCAACCAAUGUAUGCUUUGGAAACUGUUAGACUUGAGUGCAGAAGGGAAGAGUGGAAUUCCAUGUGUAGCGGUGAAAUGCGUAGAUAUAUGGAGGAACACCGGUGGCGAAAGCGGCUCUCUGGUCUGUCACUGACGCUGAGGCUCGAAAGCGUGGGUAGCGAACAGGAUUAGAUACCCGUGUAGUCCCUGUCUCUUAUACA